UAAAUCUUCAAGACCACCACCAACCUCCACUAGUGUUUCUCCACGGCUUCCUCAUCACCAUCUAACAGUAGUGUCAUCCUCUUCCUCGUCACCAAAUUUACGGCGUUGUCUGCAGAAGAUGAAGAGAGAGAGGUUGCGGGUGGAGAGUGGUUGGAGAGAGAGAAAGGCUGCAGAUGGAGAUUGAUUGGAUAGAGGGAAGGGAAAGAAGGAGAGAAGCGAGAACGACGUGAGAGAAGUGAGAGAAACUGAUCCAUUUUUUUUCUUGAUUUUUGUUUGGUUUGAAAUUGUCAUGUCACAGUUUAAUGUGUCAUGCCACAUGUGCUUAUGUACACUUAGGGAUGUGUGUUUAAGUAUGACUAGUGCUAUCGACAUUUAAAUGGGCAUUGUACGCAUUGGGUUCAAACACUUAACUAACGGUCAAAAUCCAAAUUUUAGUCCAUGGAUUAAAAUAAGUCAAAGCCCACCCAAUAUUAACCUAUUAUUAUAUAUAAAUAUGUUUUUAAUGAAAAAUCAAAUUUAUUAUAGACUCUAAAAACUGAAGAUUUCGCGCGAUACUACGGUGAGUCCGACCCCUUUUAUCUACUCGCGAGAGUAGUUAGUUUGUUGUGGGGUCCUUCGUGACCAAAAUGACAUCGUUUUGGUGCCGUUUCCAUUCUGUUUCUAACGAAACCGACGUCGUUUUCAAUUAUUUUUUACCAAAAGCUUGAAUAAGACAAAAGAAAACGAUCAAAAGCUUCACGGAUGCUCGAUCUAUAGGUGCAUGUAUCUGCUUUUCAUGUAUUUGUACGGGUGAACGACGUGGUUUCCACAUUUCCUCAAGCUCUCUCUUCUCUCCUUUCCUUUCGCUUUCUUCUUUGGCCAGAUCAGAUUAUCGAUUUUGAGGGUUGAUGCACGAGUGUACGCCGGAGCUGGGCUUCAUCAUCGAGAGGCUUCAGGUGAUAAUUUCGGAAUUAGAUUUCUUUGUGGCAGGUAGCUUACCAAAGUCUCUGGAUCUAAUCGAUUUCGAUCUAAUCGGUUUGUGGGUGUGCGGCGGAGGGAGGGUUUGAUCAUCGUUGUUCUUGGAGAUCUUCUCUACAGUAGCAUAGGGGAAUCAAGUAUGAUCCAGGAGGAGAAGUUGUUAUUCGCUGCUGCUUUAGAGAAUUCGGCAAACCAAAAAUUUGUUCUGCUCUCUGACAGGUUGGUUUUCUUCGCAACUUCUUUGAUUUAGUUUGCAAGAUUAAGCCAUCGCAACAAUAUUUUUGAAAUUAAGGCUUCUUAAUGCCAUAAGAUUGUUAUAUUUCAUCAAUAAUGAUUUAGUAUCGUAACUCCAUUUGGUGUUCUGCCUUAACAAAUUUUAGCUGUUUUGUUUGUAAAACUAAUUUUUCCAUUGCAUUUGUCAUCAAAUCAGCUAAGGUGCUGUGAAUUUUUCAUCAUGGCCUAUCUCUGUUCUUGGUUGGGUUUUGUGGGUCGGUGUUCAAAUUCCUAUUGAUUGUGCUUCUUUGUGUGCUUGCUGAGAAGGAAAUCUUAAAGCCAAAAGAUCAACCACAGAGUGCACUACGAAAAAUCACUUAGCAAUUCACGAAAACAAAAUCACCCAGAUUGGUAGAAGACUAAUCACUCGGUA